rnacentral:rRNA from 1 species
GAUGAACGCUGGCGGCGUGCCUAAUACAUGCAAGUCGAGCGAAUGGAUUAAGAGCUUGCUCUUAUGAAGUUAGCGGCGGACGGGUGAGCAACACGUGGGUAACCUGCCCAUAAGACUGGGAUAACUCCGGGAAACCGGGGCCAAUACCGGAUAAUAUUUUGAACUGCAUGGUUCAAAAUUGAAAGGCGGCUUCGGCUGUCACUUAUGGAUGGACCCGCCUCGCAUUAGCUAGUUGGUGAGGUAACGGCUCACCAAGGCAACGAUGCGUAGCCGACCUGAGAGGGUGAUCGGCCACACUGGGACUGAGACACGGCCCAGACUCCUACGGGAGGUAGCAGUAGGGAAUCUUCCGCAAUGGACGAAAGUCUGACGGAGCAACGCCGCGUGAGUGAUGAAGGCUUUCGGGUCGUAAAACUCUGUUGUUAGGGAAGAACAAGUGCUAGUUGAAUAAGCUGGCACCUUGACGGUACCUAACCAGAAAGCCACGGCUAACUACGUGCCAGCCGCCGCCGUAA